AUCUCUCCCGCCAAAUAUGUUCAUUACGAUCAAGAAGAAUUCGUGAAAAUUUCAACAAGCAUUUGCCAUACACAUUUCCAAUGAAAAAAGACGAAGAAAAAACUACUGUCAAAAGUGAGGCUGAUUCUACAAGGAGAUACAAAAAUAAUGACUGUUUAAGCUGUCGAAUCAUUGGAACUUCAGCUCUACUGAUAGCAAGUGCAUAUGUGUACUAUCAUGGCAAAAGAGGGACGUCAACACAUAGCAGACUCUUUUCAAUGGCUACAGCUUUGGGGCUUUUUUCCCUUGGGGUUCUAAGAGCCAUCAAGUGAAGAAACAUAACUUAUUGGCAAGUAUAUGAUCAACUGUCAUGCAUCAAUCAAACUUCACAAGUGACACAUAACCAAGAAGGCCAAAGGAAUCAAGAAAAAGCAGCAGUAUAAUUAGCUGCUUUGAAAAUAACCGACAAUACUUGAGUAUGAAUAAAAUAAAAAUAAAAACUUGAAAAUAAACUAUAAGUUGCAGUUUAUUUUAUCUCCUUUUUGUUAUUUUAAAGUUUUUGUUAGCAAGAUGUAAUGCAUUAAUAAUGUCAAGUUUUUGAAUGCAAAUGUUCCAAAGAACUUGGAAAGAAACCUCCAACUCCUUUCCCGCCCUCUUAAUAUUUU